AUACGGAGGGUGCAAGCGUUGUUCGGAAUCACUGGGCGUAAAGGGCGCGCAGGCGGUUUGGUAAGUCAGAUGUGAAAGCCCACGGCUCAACCGUGGAAGUGCAUUUGAAACUGCCUGACUCGAGUACCAGAGGGGAAAGUGGAAUUCCCGGUGUAGAGGUGAAAUUCGUAGAUAUCGGGAGGAAUACCGGUGGCGAAGGCGACUUUCUGGCUGGAUACUGACGCUGAGGCGCGAAAGCGUGGGGAGCAAACAGGAUUAGAAACCCUAGUAGUCC
rnacentral:rRNA from 1 species